CAGGUACAACGCAGAGAGACAGCACUCACUGACAUCUACAGGUACAACACAGAGAGACAGCACUCACUGACAUCUACAGGUACAACGCAGAGAGACAGCACUCACUGACAUCUACA